CCUGGUGGCUCAGAGGGUAAAGCAUCUGCCUGCAAUGCAGGAGACCUUGGUUCGAUCCCUGGAUCAGGA
rnacentral:tRNA from 1 species